rnacentral:rRNA from 1 species
CCUACGGGAGGCAGCAGUGGGGAAUUUUGGACAAUGGGCGCAAGCCUGAUCCAGCCAUUCCGCGUGAGUGAAGAAGGCCUUCGGGUUGUAAAGCUCUUUCGCAAGGGAAGAAAACUUAUCCUCUAACAUAGGAUGAGGUUGACGGUACCUUGAUAAGAAGCACCGGCUAACUACGUGCCAGCAGCCGCGGUAAUACGUAGGGUGCGAGCGUUAAUCGGAAUUACUGGGCGUAAAGCGUGAAGUCGCUGUUGAAAUCACCGAGCUCAACUUGGGAACUGCGUUUGAAUCUACAAGACUAGAAUAGGUCAGAGGGGGGUAGAAUUCCACGUGUAGCAGUGAAAUGCGUAGAGAUGUGGAGGAAUAUCAAUGGCGAAGGCAGCCCCCUGGGAUCAUAUUGACGCUCAUGCACGAAAGCGUGGGGAGCAAACAGGAUUAGAUACCCUGGUAGUC